CAUCUUCCGGUUGAACGGUGGCUGCGGUGGGACGUAACGUAAGGAGUGACAGGUGACGUAAGCAGUUUCCAGCUCUCCACGCCCUUGGCAGUAUAAAAUCAUCUUGUUCCGUCAAAGUCAGUGUAGGGAGGAGCUGAACUCGCAGCGCCGGAUGAAACUGUAUGAAGCCUUGGUGCGGGUAAAUAAGGAGAAUUUAUGUUGGUUGAGAGGUUAUAGAAUAGGAAGUGUCAAUGGUCCAUUUCAAGAUAGAUGGCGGUAAUGCACAUAUUUGUCUGCGAUCCGCCGUAAAAAAAAAAAAAGCAAGAAGAAGAAGAAAGUCAGUGUAGUGAGUCAAGAGUUGGAAUUGCGAGUAUUGAAAACAAUCAGGAGGAUAUAAUGUGUUAAGCGUCUAUUUAGCAUAGCAUUUAUAAAGUUAUUUAGAAUAUUUCGUGUAGCCUAUGUAGUAAAUUAGCAUAGUUGUUAGUGUAACGUUAGUACAUUUACAAUUAUUCAUUUAGCAGACGCUUUUAUCCAAAGCGACUAGAAGCAUAGUUAUAGUAUUGCAUCAGUUAGGAUAGCUUAGUUAGCGUAGAUUUGGCUUUAUUUAGUACAGUGGUCAGGAUGGUACGUAAGUGUAGCGUUGCUGGUUGCAACAACACUGCUGGACUGCAUAGUUUUCCAGCAGACUUGAAAAUUAGGCGCCAGUGGUUGCAUGCACUUGGCCUGGAAGACCGCGAGUUCCCGCCUAGAGCUGGAGUGUGCAAACUGCAUUUUACGCGAGAUUGCUUCUCCAACGCAAUGCAGGUGGAAAUGGGCUUCUCCUCACAGCUCAUGCUGAAAAGCGACGCAGUGCCUUACGCUAACGUUACUCCUCCUGCAAGGACUCCACGACCGCAGCGGCGCCCCGGGGCCAGCACAUCAAGUGCUUGUAUUCAGCUGCCUCUCUCAAGGGAUGUUUCCUGCCAGACAGACCCCCUGGAAACACAUACUGUAGGCACACAGCUCUCCUUAAAGACUCUGCUGCCCCACUUUAGAAGUGAAGGUGUCCAGGCAAAUGUCUCCUGCAAAGAUUUCGGUGUUGGGAUGUCCAAUGCAGACCCUUUGGGCCUGUCAUCGACACCUGUGAAGAGACCUCGUCUAGACCUCGAUGAACAGCUGGAGGACGAUGCAUUGGAGCACAGCUCUUUAGAGGAAGCUUUAAAGGGACAGGAUUCCACUCAUGAUCCCGCUUCGUUAGACUCUUCACUUAAGUCAGCAGAUUCAUCCACUCCCACCCACAACAGCAAAAAGUACAUAGUGUACGAGAGCUGCAUCAUGGAGUUGUUUAAUGUAUGUCCAGUCUGCACCCGGGCAUGUGAUGUGAGGACCCAAAGGCUGGGGACAUUCCUGUCUGUGAAGCAGUGGUGUCCCCGCUGCACAUUUACAAGACACUGGAAUAGCCAGCCUGUCAUUGGGAGCGUGCCGUCUGGAAAUCUGCACCUUUCUGCCGCCGUGUACCUGAGUGGUGCAUCUUUCAUACUAAUCGAAAAGGUCUUCAAGGCAAUGAAGCUACAGUUGUUUAGGUAUGAAACAUUUCAACGCCACGCCAGAGCUUUCAUUGAGCCGGCAGUUAUUCACCACUGGAAAGCCACACAGGAUGUGAAUCUGCAGUCACUGAGUCAGGAGGAAAAAGUGAUAGUUGGUGGUGACAUGAGAGCUGACUCUCCAGCACACUCUGCAAAGUACGGCAGUUAUGCAACGAUGGAUCUCCGUACUAACACCGUUGUGGACAUUCAGUUGGUUCAGAGCAACGAGGUUGGUGGUAGCUGCCACAUGGAAAAAGAGGGCCUGAAAAGGAGUCUAGCUUUACUGGAGUCGCGUGGCAUCAAUCUUGAUUGCAUCGUCACUGAUCGCCAUCCACAAGUACAGAAGUUCCUCAGAGAGAGAAACAUAACCCAUUACUACGAUGUCUGGCACAUGGCAAAAGGAAUUUCCAAGAAACUGGAAGCAAUCAGUAAGCAGAAAGACUGUGAGAAACUCAAGAAGUGGAUGAAAAGCAUCAUCAAUCACAUAUACUGGACUGCAGCUAGCUCAACCUCCGAACCAGAGAGAAUUGCAAAGUGGACCACGAUCCUGAACCAUGUUCGAGAUGUUCAUACACAUGAGGAUCCUCUUUACCCCAAGUGUGAGCAUGUGAUCCGCAAGACAACUGACAAGAGUAAAUGGCUCCAAGCAGUUGUCUGCAGAUACUCUAGCUUUUUACAAGUUGGAGAAGUUGCUGACAAAAAAAAGAACGCUGAAGGAUGUUGCAAAACUGAGCCCCCACCACCAAACUUCAUCUUUAGAGGCUUUCCGUGCCGUCAUCCUUCGUUUUGCCCCGAAGAAUGUUGUCUUUCCUUUUAUUGGGAUGUUGUGCAGACUAUACCUGGCUGCUAUGCAUUAUAAUGAAAAUGUGGACCGACCACUGGCCGAAACGGAGGAAGGUGUACCUCUCUUCAAAAUCUCAUUUCCGAAGUCUAGGAAGGAAGAGUGCAGAGUUAAACCUCAAAAGACACAGCCGACCUUUGGUUAUGUUGCUGACACGAUGGACCUCAUUUUUGAGAAAGUCUUUGUUAACCCUGUGCCAUACACCGAUGCGCUGUUGGCCAUCCCUGUCCCAGAGGACCUGAGUCCCUGAGUUUGAGAAGCUCGAUGAGGAGGAGGUCAUUGCCAGCUUUGUUUUCUGUGGAGGACAGUUUAAACCAGACGUAGUGGCCUUUCCUCAUCAGGAAAUUCACACAAGCUGGAAUAAUGACCCGGAUUCUGCGUCCCAGGAGUCCUCAGCACCAGCUCACAAACGAACGAUAGGAGAGAUAUCUGUAGCCACUGAACAAUUGAUAUUUAGUCUGGCAGAGAUCUAACAUUGUUUGUGUUAUUAUACAAAUAUUCCUUUGCUCCUAUGGAUCAUAUUCAAUGCUUGUUUUGUAACAUUUUUCAAGUUUUUAUUUUCUCUUGUUGUAAAUAAAUAUUGACACUGUCUACACUACUGAAUGAAAAUUAGACACAAGGUUGGUUGUUGGAAUAAACAGUCAAGACUCAAAA